GGUGAUGCAUAUAGAAUGUAGAACCUCCAUCAGGAAUUUGGAUUGUGACAACCAGCACCUGCUCCGCUCUCAGUUGGUCCAGCCCAGACCCUUAGAUCUGUGAAGAAUGUGUCUGGUACUUUGAUUGGCAUUGCAUUAAAUAAGCAGAAGAAAGGAUGCUGGAGAUGGAAUUAAUUUGAAGGUGCUGCUGAAGGUGCAAGGGCCAGAGGACAAAAUGAGACAAGUCAGAAACAUCCUCAUGCCAGUGCACUGUGGCCAAGCCCUGAAGGAUGUCUGCUCUUUGCAAGCUGCCGAGCCAGGGUACCAGUUACAUCUGCAGAAUCCUUCAGCCCAGACUGUGAGAGAAACUCAGCGCAAGCCAAGUGUUGACCGGCACAGGCCAAAUGUAGAGCUGGGGGGGUAGGGGAAUAAAAACUCACUUAGUAUACUUAGUAUAUAACACCCAGAACAUACUGAUCUCUUGAGACAGUGGUGCCCAAUAAAAAUAUUGAUUCUUUCAA